CCCACAGAAAUUUUAUCUUCUCAUUCUUUGAAAGCAAUCCCAAAGAGCAAGCUCAAAAAUAUUUAAAAUAAUGGCAGUUUCAACAUAGCAGUACAGCAUCCUUAAGAGACUAAUUUGGGUAUCAUCAGUAACACUGGUCCUUCAAGAAAUGCUUACUGAACACCACAAGAAAACACAUUUGGAGUCCUAAAUAAACAGACGGCAGUCUAAAAGGCAAAGGGAGGAAAAGAGCAGAUCACAAAAAGAUUCGGUAAUCCAAAUCGCAUCUGAUUUCUCAAAAGCAAUACUGGAAAGUAGAGACAAUGGACCAAUUUCAGAAUUUCAAAGAAAAAAAACUAUUUCAAUCCAGAAGAUAUCCAACCAAAAUGUCAACAACCUUGAGAGAAGACAUUCUUAGGCAUGCAAGGUUUUUAAAAGCUACCUGCUAUACCUAUUUCUCAGGAAGCUAAUCAAGAGAAUUAACCACAAAAGAACAAGUCUUGGAUACAGGAAAUAGAAGAUCCAACACAGAAGAAAGACAAGGGAAUAGAUGGGAGUGAAGUGAAAUCUCAGGACAACAGAAGCAUUAACAGACCUAGAGAAAAAGUUCCUAUUGGACCAGGAUGAUGGAAGGCCUCAGGAAGGAUUGCUUCAAGAAAAAAAUAAAAUUAGUAGAUUAACAAAGCACUUGAAUGCAUACGUAAGUUAUUCAGCAUCUCCAGAAGACAGAUCUACAGAUAGGUAUACAGGCAACAAAACAAUUACUAACCCUAGAGCAAAUAAAAUGUUGUGUAAAACAGAACAUGUAGUAAGAGCACAUCAUGUGGCUCAGUUGUAACAUUUAGAAAACUGUAAAUAAUGCAACCAAAUGAAAAAUUUUCCCAUGGAAAAAUUUUAACUGUAUUGGGAGAACAGUGAGAUAGUAAAUA